AGCUCUCUGGUGGUGUUUGGCAAUGGUAGAACUCACACUGGUGAGGUAGAUGGAUCCGGUGGUUCUAGACUUGCCAACUACUGCCUGAGAGUG